rnacentral:rRNA from 1 species
CAUAAUAAUUAGUUUUUUAAUUGAAAGCUUGGAUGAAUGGUUGGACAAAGAAAUAGCUGUCUUUAAAAUUAUUCUAGAAUUUAACUUUUAAGUGAAAAGGCUUAAAUUUUUUAGAGGGACGAUAAGACCCUAUAAAAGUUUAUAUAUUGAUUAUUGAAUUCAAAUUAUUUAUAUUAAUUAUACUAAUUAAUUAUAUUUUAUUGGGGCGAUAAAUAAAUAAUUUAUAUUAACUGUUUAUGGUUAAAUACAAUUAUAAAUGAAAAUAUUAAUGAUCCUUAAUUAAAGAUUAAAAGAUUAAGUUACUUUAGGGAUAACAGCGUAAUUCUUUUUGAAAGUUCUUAUUAAAAAAAGAGUUUGCGACCUCGAUGUUGAAUUAAAAUGUCUAUUAGGCGCAGAAGUCUAAUAAG